UAUAUAACGUCCUUAUAUCCCUCCUGAUAUUCAUAAGCUCAUCGACAGCCCCUCCGUGAACAAGUUCUUCCAGAGCAACACUGUGACCAAGCUUCUCCAAAGCAAAGACCGUCCAUAUCAACGUCCGCUCUCUAUCUGCUGUAUCGUGACUCCCAAAGACUCUGCAAAAUGAACAGUCUGCUGAUCUUGAUGGCUUUGUUCCUGAUGGCGGACGUGAGGCCAGAACCUCCGCCGGAGUUGCCCUGCCAUCCAAGAGACUUCACCGAUCUCGCCAGCUCCCGCUGCGCGGAAGCACACGAAGCAGACGAAACAGCGAAAGCACACUCCCACCUCGUCAAGCGAUCACGGCUGAUGAGGACCUGAAUUGGAUUUCUCGGUGGCUCAGACGCGAAUCAAUACUCACGUUUUUAAUCAUCAUAAAUAACUUUAUACUGUUUGAGAUGGUCGUUUCAUGUACUAUGUCAC